CUUUGCAGAAGGUUUCUGGGGAGAGCAGCCUUAUUCUGUCCUCCAUGCUGCAAAUGUUUCAAGCUCCCUCCUCUCUGUCCCAAAGGCUCUCUCAGAUAAGGUGGC